GAAUAAAGCACCAUCUCCAUCCCAUUUGUUCAAGAAAGUGUUAUUUUUGCAUUUAUUAUAGUUUUAAUAAUAUCUUGAAUAAACUUUUAUUUUCAGAUUUUUAUUUUUUUGUCAUUUAUAAUUACAGUUUAGUAAUUUUGCUAUGUGCCAUUCCCAUUUUAUUAGAUUUCUUUUUUAAAUUAUUUAUUUAUUAUAUUUCAGUUUCAUGUAGUUUUAGUUUUUUAUUUAUUUCCAGUUAAUAAUUUGAAUGCUUUUUCUUAAACUUUUUUUAUUGCCAAGGCAACAUUUUUAUUUUUAUUUUGUGUAAGUUUUUCAAUUAAUAUUAAUAUUUUAUUUUAGCAUUUUUUUUUUUAUUAACAGAAAUGUUUUUAAUAGUUUUCUGUUUUCAAUUUUCAUUAAUGAUAAUAGCCUAACCCUAGUUGAAGAGAAUAAAAUUGGCACAAAACAGAUGUAUCAGGAAUAGCAUUAGGGGAAGCCACUUUUUCAUGCAUCAUAAAUAUCUUGUGGCUCUGAGAGUGUGCAGAUGAAAUGCAAUAAACUCUGUCAUAUUUAUACCAAAUAAUUUUGAUGACAACCAACAUCUGAGAUGCUGUGUGAUGCGAUUGGUCCGCUGGUUAGUCCAGUUAUCCAAUCACAUCCUCCGUUGCACAUCAAGGGAUUUAUUCAGUAAAUGUGUUUUCAUUGUAGCUUGUGCGCAUGUCGUCUUGUCAGAUAAAAUGCAUUUUUUUAGAAGAAUUUAUGCACAACUUGGCGCUUCCAUCCAACAUGUGAUAAACUCAGAUUCAUAUAGGCUUAAACAGGUGUAUGGAAAAAAAGCUAUUCUCAAAGUAACAAGCAUUCCCAUGAAUACAAAAAAAUACAUGUUUUAGAUAGACUAACUGCUUUUUUUGGUAUUUACUUUUCAGUACCUUCAACUGUCAGAAACGUAAGAUCAGCAGACAAUGACAGCACAGUCAUAAUGGCCUUUUGGGAUCCUCCUACUGGUAAUUAUUCAGGUUACCGCUAUUGUCUUGAAGAAGUCAAUAACAGCCGCAAGUGUACUUACUGCAACAUCACAUCAGACAGCAGCAUUACAGCAAACAACGACAUUACAAACUCAGGCAACAGUGAUACAACAAAAUUCAGUAAUACAGACUGUAAAACAGUGGAUGAAAAAGAAACAUUUAUCAAACAGAUUAAUAGAUCAGACGGCAGCAUGUUUUGUGUGUGUGUGGCAGCGCUAACAAAGAACAACACUCUGUCAGGAGAAAUGGUUGGAAUCCCAGCAUACACACGCCCAAAAUCUGUGGACCUUAGUUUAAUACCUUCCCUUAAAGAAAUGCAAGCCACCUGGGAAAUAAAUGGGAAUUAUGAAAAAUUUGAAGUGACAAUUAUAAGUGCUGAUGCAAAGGAUAUUCAGUCAUAUAAUACUACAAACAAGGAUUACACUUUCACUAAUCUGAAGGCAGGAGUGUUUUACACUGUUUCAGUUGUCACUCUUAAUGGUGACCUUACAAGUGUACCUGCUAAUAAGUCAGAUUACACCCGUGAGUAAUCAUUACAUUGCGAUCACUAUUUUUCGAU
ensembl:lncRNA